GCAAGGAAUAUUCCGCAAUGGGCGCAAGCCUGACGGAGCGACGCCGCGUGGAGGAAGACCCCCUUCGGGGCGUAAACUCCUUUUCCGUGGGACGACAGACGACGGUACCACGGGAAGAAGCACCGGCUAACUACGUGCCAGCAGCCGCGGUAAGACGUAGGGUGCGAGCGUUGUCCGGAGUUACUGGGCGUAAAGGGCGCGUAGGCGGUCUUGUGCAGUCGCACGUGAAAGCCCCCGGCUCAACUGGGGAGGGUCGUGCGAGACGGCGAGACUGGAGGCAGGGAGAGGCUGGUGGAAUUCCCGGAGUAGUGGUGAAAUGCGUAGAGAUCGGGAGGAACACCGGUGGCGCAGGCGGCCAGCUGGCCCUGACCUGACGCUGAGGCGCGAAGGCGUGGGGAGCGAACGGGAUUAGAUACCCGGGUAGUCC
rnacentral:rRNA from 1 species